rnacentral:rRNA from 1 species
AGUCGAACGCACUGACGUCGACCGAAGCUGCUUGCAGUGGACGUUGAUUGACGUGAGUGGCGGACGGGUGAGUAACACGUGGGUAACCUACCCUUAAGUGGGGGAUAACAUUUGGAAACAGAUGCUAAUACCGCAUAACCAUUCAGACCACAUGGUCUGAAUGUAAAAGACGGCCUUUGGCUGUCACUUUUGGACGGACCCGCGGCGUAUUAGUUAGUUGGUAAGGUAACGGCUUACCAAGACAAUGAUACGUAGCCGACCUGAGAGGGUAAUCGGCCACAUUGGGACUGAGACACGGCCCAAACUCCUACGGGAGGCAGCAGUAGGGAAUCUUCCACAAUGGACGAAAGUCUGAUGGAGCAACGCCGCGUGAGUGAAGAAGGUUUUAGGAUCGUAAAACUCUGUUGUUGGAGAAGAACAGGGACUAGAGUAACUGUUAGUCCUUUGACGGUAUCCAACCAGAAAGCCACGGCUAACUACGUGCCAGCAGCCGCGGUAAUACGUAGGUGGCAAGCGUUGUCCGGAUUUAUUGGGCGUAAAGCGAGCGCAGGCGGUUUUUUAAGUCUGAUGUGAAAGCCUUCGGCUUAACCGAAGAAGUGCAUUAGAAACUGGGAAACUUGAGUGCAGAAGAGGACAGUGGAACUCCAUGUGUAGCGGUGAAAUGCGUAGAUAUAUGGAAGAACACCAGUGGCGAAGGCGGCUGUCUGGUCUGUAACUGACGCUGAG